UACGUAGGGGGCAAGCGUUGUCCGGAAUCAUUGGGCGUAAAGAGCGUGUAGGCGGCCAGAUAAGUCCGCUGUGAAAACUCGAGGCUCAACUUCGAGCUGUCGGUGGAAACUAUUUGGCUAGAGUCCGGAAGAGGAGAGUGGAAUUCCUGGUGUAGCGGUGAAAUGCGCAGAUAUCAGGAAGAACACCCGUGGCGAAGGCGGUUCUCUGGGACGGUACUGACGCUGAGACGCGAAAGCGUGGGGAGCGAACAGG
rnacentral:rRNA from 1 species